GAUGAACGCUGGCGGCGUGCCUAAUACAUGCAAGUCGAGCGAACAGACGAGGAGCUUGCUCCUCUGACGUUAGCGGCGGACGGGUGAGUAACACGUGGAUAACCUACCUAUAAGACUGGGAUAACUUCGGGAAACCGGAGCUAAUACCGGAUAAUAUAUUGAACCGCAUGGUUCAAUAGUGAAAGACGGUUUUGCUGUCCCUUAUAGAUGGAUCCGCGCCGCAUUAGCUAGUUGGUAAGGUAACGGCUUACCAAGGCAACGAUGCGUAGCCGACCUGAGAGGGUGAUCGGCCACACUGGAACUGAGACACGGUCCAGACUCCUACGGGAGGCAGCAGUAGGGAAUCUUCCGAAAAGGGCGAAAGCUUGACGGAGCAACGCCGCGUGAGUGAUGAAGGUCUUCGGAUCGUAAAACUCUGUUAUUAGGGAAGAACAAAUGUGUAAGUAACUAUGCACGUCUUGACGGUACCUAAUCAGAAAGCCACGGCUAACUACGUG
rnacentral:rRNA from 1 species